rnacentral:rRNA from 1 species
AUUGAACGCUGGCGGCAUGCCUUACACAUGCAAGUCGAACGGUAACAGGUCUUUCGGGAUGCUGACGAGUGGCGAACGGGUGAGUAAUACAUCGGAACGUGCCUAGUAGUGGGGGAUAACUACUCGAAUGAGUGGCUAAUACCGCAUGAGAUCUAUGGAUGAAAGCAGGGGACCUUCGGGCCUUGUGCUACUAGAGCGGCCGAUGGCAGAUUAGGUAGUUGGUGGGAUAAAAGCUUACCAAGCCUACGAUCUGUAGCUGGUCUGAGAGGACGAUCAGCCACACUGGAACUGAGACACGGCCCAGACUCCUACGGGAGGCAGCAGUGGGGAAUUUUGGACAAUGGGCGCAAGCCUGACCCAGCAAUGCCGCGUGCAGGAUGAAGGCCUUCGGGUUGUAAACUGCUUUUGUACGGAACGAAAAGUCUUGGGUUAAUACCCUGGGAUCAUGACGGUACCGUAAGAAUAAGCACCGGCUAACUACGUGCCAGCCGCCGCCGUAA